rnacentral:lncRNA from 1 species
CCUAACAACACACAACAUUCCAGGAAUGUACUACCAAAGUUCUAUCAAUAUUUGAAUGUCCUGGACAUUUAGGGAACAUUCGGUGAACAUCUGAUUAAAUUAUUCGUGGAAUGUUACCAUAAGACAUUCUGUGAACAUACUACCAAUGUUCCUGUUCAUUUUCAAAUUCACGGCGCAUGUAUUUGUGCAUGGUGCUUAGAGAGGGCAUCACGUGACUAAAAACGACCAAUGACCUCACUUCAGACUUCGGUUCGGCCAUCUUGACAUGCAUCUUGCCUUGGCCACCUUGCCGUGCGUGAUCGUUGUUUGUUUUUAUUUGUGCUUUUUAAGAAUAUUUUUUAAUUCGGAUACUUUUAUAAUAACUUUAAUAGUAUUAUUAAUAUAGUGCAUAAAAUCAGUUGGAGUAGCAGAAGCAAUGUAGAUAAAAAAUCUGCAGGAAUAAUGUUUCAAAGCUUUCCAGAAGAUCCUGCGAAGAAGGCAUGAAGUAUUGAUCAGAUUUGUUAAUAGAGCAGUAUGUUCAAAACAUUUUUUAGAAAAAGAUAUUGACAGAACUUCACUUUCAACCGUUUGAGAGACUGUGCUGUUCCAAUAGCUUAUAUCACACAGAAUCAGCUGAGAGAAGUGGUCUACAAAAAACCAGGAAGGAAAUGGAAUAUGUGGCUAUGAAAGGCAAAAGAAAGGUUUACAAAGCAAAUGUGACACAUUUUUUUAUAGGAAUAUCAGUAAAUUACAUUAAAAAAAUGUAUGAAAAGAUUUUUUGCAAUAAAAAUGUUUAUAUUUAUCAAGCAUGCAUUAUUUGGUAUGGCCACAUAUCGUCAGUGAUGUGACAAUACCUCCUAUCUGUUUUUUCAUGAGAUUUGUAAGAUAGACUAAAAACUUGUUUGGGCCACCUCCUGUUUUCAUAUAUUUUUUGACUUGUUUUGCAGUAAAUUUAACUAUCUAUUUACUACAAAACAAGCCAGAACUUACGUAUGCAAACAGGAGGUGACCUUAAAAAAUGUUUUUCGUCUCCUGCAAACCUCAUGAAAAAAGAU